UACGGAGGGUGCGAGCGUUGUCCGGAAUUAUUGGGCGUAAAGCGCGCGCAGGUGGUUUCUUAAGUCUGAUGUGAAAGCCCACGGCUCAACCGUGGAGGGUCAUUGGAAACUGGGAGACUUGAGUGCAGAAGAGGAAAGUGGAAUUCCAUGUGUAGCGGUGAAAUGCGUAGAGAUAUGGAGGAACACCAGUGGCGAAGGCGACUUUCUGGUCUGUAACUGACACUGAGGCGCGAAAGCGUGGGGAGCAAACAGG
rnacentral:rRNA from 1 species